UACGUAGGGUGCAAGCGUUGUCCGGAAUUAUUGGGCGUAAAGAGCUCGUAGGCGGUUUGUUGCGUCGGCUGUGAAAUCCCGAGGCUCAACCUCGGGUCUGCAGUCGAUACGAGCAAACUAGAGUGUUGCAGGGGAGACUGGAAUUCCUGGUGUAGCGGUGAAAUGCGCAGAUAUCAGGAGGAACACCGGUGGCGAAGGCGGGUCUCUGGGCAACAACUGACGCUGAGGAGCGAAGCGUGGGGAGCGAACAGG
rnacentral:rRNA from 1 species